rnacentral:lncRNA from 1 species
UUUCAAGAAAUGAUAUAUGAAUGUUGAGACUUGUGAAUUUCCUUUUAGUACAAAAGAUAUUAACUUGAUAUGGGUUAAUAGUUGGUAGCUACUGCACCCUCCAACCUCCACACAUGUAAGCAUGGGCCACCCAUAUGAAGGGCACUUUAAUCGUUAUAUGUAGUCCAAUUUUGUGCCCAUUACCAACCAUCUUUGCUCUCUUUGUCAUGAUAUAUGAAGACAAACCAACACGAAGGUAAAAAAAACUCCAAAGAGAGAGCCCAGCAGUGAUGUAUGAUUGAUUUGGUGGAGUUGGACGUAUGCACCAUAUUAGGAAUCUGAGGAAUCUCAAAAUACAUACAUCAUGGGUGGUUUUCAUAGUAUUGUUGAAGGAGUUGUUGUUGUGAGAGUUAAUGCUCUGUGUCUAGUUAAUUACUCCCAAUAUGUUUCAUGUGUGGUCUAUAUGUUUUUUAAAGAAAACCUACUCCACACUUUGUUAUGAGUUAAUGAGAAUUACAUCCUUCAAAACAUGCGGCAAAAGGAAACUAGGGAAUCAUCGUCCCAAGUAAACAUAAGGUUUGAAUCAAAAGCAUGUCUUGCUAACAAAUGUGCCAAGCCAUUUGCCUCCCUCAGUCAAUGCUGGAACUGAAUUAAAGUGAUGUCAUGGGCAUACUGGAAACAAUCUGCUAAGAUUGCAGAACAUGGUGCCAAAAUGUCAGCCUCGCCUGUGCAUGCCGAAAUAAUCUCCAAACAAUCUGACUCAAUUGUCACCCUGGAGCAGCCCACUUGACUGACAAGUUGUAGACCUCGAAGAAGAGCCAACACUUAUGUUGUAGCCGCGCUAUCAAUAUAUGUGAACGGUUCUGCCACUCCCGUGAUUUCUUCUCCUCGAUAGUUCCUGAUGAUCACAGCAAUUGCUCCAAUGCCAUUUUGAAGGAAUGUGUUGGUGCCGAAGCCUCGCCUUGCCUCUUGCCGGAGGUCUCUCUCUCGCACGAACGUAGAAGAAAGAAGGAGGAACAAGGCAGUGGACACAGAGGUAAACCCAGCGCACGAACAGCCGCUUCCUUUUUACUCAAGCACGAACUCGAGCUCUACAUUUACAACAACACACGGGGAGGAGUCUUUAUACACAGACGCGACCACACGAC